UCCUUAGAUGUUCUGGGCCGCACGCGCGCUACACUGAUGCAUUCAACGAGUCUAAAACCUGCUCUGAUAGGGGUGGGUAAUCUUUUGAAUGUGCAUCGUGAUUGGGAUAGAUGAUUGCAAUUUUUCAUCUUCAACGAGGAAUGCCUAGUAAACGCAAGUCAUCAGCUUGCAUUGAUUACGUCCCUGCCCUUUGUACACACCGCCCGUCGCUCCUACCGAUUGAAUGAUCCGAUGAAUAUCAUGGAUUGAGGAUGCAAGUAGGUUAGCCUAUCUUCAUCUUCGAGAAGUGAAGUAAAUCUUAUCAUUUAGAGGAAGGGGAAGUCGUAACA
rnacentral:rRNA from 1 species